GAUGAACGCUGGCGGCGUGCCUAAUACAUGCAAGUCGAGCGAACGGACGAGAAGCUUGCUGCUUUGUUGUUAGCGGCGGACGUGGGAGUAACACGUGUAUAACCUACCUAUCACAGUGGGAUAACUUCGGGAAACCGGAGCUUAUACCGGAUAAUAUUUUGAUCCGCAUGGUUCAAAAGUGAAAGACGGUUUUUCUGUCACUUAUAGAUGGAUCCGCGCUUCGUUAGCUAGUUGUUAAGGUAACGGAUUACCAAGGCAACGAUGCAUAGCCGACCUGAGAGGGUGAUCGCCAGCGCUAGAGUUGAGACACCGACUAGUGUCCUACGGGAGGCAGCAGGAGGCAAUCAUACGCAACGGCCGGAAGUUUGACGGAGGAACGCCACGUGAGUGAUGAUGAUCUUCGGAUCGUGAAAAUCUGUUAUCAGGAGAGAACAUAUGUGGACGUAGAUGUGAAGAUCUUGACGGUACCGAGUCAAAAAGCCCCGGCUAAAUACGUG
rnacentral:rRNA from 1 species